rnacentral:lncRNA from 1 species
CAAACUCACAGAGCUCUACCUCCCUCUGCCUCUCAAAUGCUGGGAUCCAAGGUGUGUGUCACUACCACCACCCAGCAAAAAUGAUAUAUAUUUUUUUUUUAAGGUUUUCUGAAGACAAUGUGGGCAUUGGUGUCCACGCUUGUAAAAUGAGGAUGGUUCUAUCUACCAUCCCAGGUAAACUCAUGGAGCUGCUGUGGGGACUACGUGGCAUAGACCUGCUGCACGUUUUGUAGAACCCAGAUAUACACAGUCCCAAGUUCCCUAGUGAGAAAGAGCUAAGCAAUUCUUUGUGUGUGUGUUGUGUGGGCAGUGCAUGUGGUUGUCUCUGUAUAACACGAUGGACCAUGUCUGUUUGGGAGUGGUGGUGGGUGAAGAUUUAUAGUGAGAAGGAAAGACAGGGGAGCUGUGACUUGCAGCCUAAGGCAAAGAAGAUGAUUCUGAGGUUGGGACAUAGCCAGGCUGCCUUCAAAAGUGAUGACCCAAUAAUCCCAGGGUUUUGCAAAGCUGGAAAUCCAGAGAUGAUUUCAGGGCAGAGUAGGCCGACCUGAUUGUGUUCCAUGGAAACCAUCCGUUUGGAGACCCUUGCUGGGGAAGGUCCUUGGUGAAAAAUCUUCAAGCCUCCAUGAGUUGCAGUAAUGAGAGGCAUGUUUGCAUCUAUCUGGAUGCUCAGACAUACAGGAUUUCAGCCAGCGGAGCUUCAGUAAAUAUUGAUGAAUUGAAGGACGCCCUAGGGAGGUGUCCUAGAGCAGCACAACCUGUUACCCCCCCCCCCGGCCUUAAUGGACUCCAUGGGAUCAGCAUCCAGAGUGAACAAGUUCUCAACAGCCCCAGAGACGCAUCACGUAUGUAGGCUGUGGUGCAAGCGUUAAGAUGACCUGAAUCAAGGAGCAGCUUUACUGUGAGAAGGCCUCCCCCUGACGCAAGCUGGACAGUAGAGCAUCAAUCAAUCAAUCAAUCAAUCUACAUUGCAUCUGGUGUUUUGUUUUUUCUUUUUUUUUUGAGAUAGGGUCUCACUAUGUAGCCUUAGCUGGUCUGGAACUUGGUAUGUAGACCAGGCUGGCCUCCUCCAGAUCUCCAUGUCUCUCUUCCUGCCUCCUGAGCGCUGGGAUUAAAAGUGCGCACUGCCAUUGUUUGACUAGAAACCUGCCCCCGAAGACUCCUGUAAACCUGUUGCCAGUACUGUAUUGCCAGUGCCAAACCCAGUGACCCCCAGUCAGCAUCUACAGCGUUAGAACUGAGUCCUCUGUGUGAUAACUGUCUUGGUGACUGUGAGGAAAUUUGGAGCGCAUCAGCCAAUUGGUGAAGACACUGGUCAUAGCUGUCACAUCCCAGUAGACCUUUUCUCAGUUACACGUUCACCUCAAAAGACUGAAGGAAGCAGCGGAGAGAUGGUCCAGUUCUCAGAUGGCCUUCAGCUUUGGUCCCCUCGGGCCGGCCAGAAGAAGUCUGCGUGGCGCGCUUUGCAUGAUGCGCUUUGCUGUCUUGAAUGGUGUGGGCAGUCUGGGAGAACCACACUGCCCUUCAACACUCUGAAGAUGUCUUCCAGUAAACCACCAACUCGUUGGCAUUCAAGUCCUUCUUUCCACAGAAUGCUAAGAAUCAGGCCUGCACAAUGUCAUCACACUGAUGUCACAAUGGCGGCUUCUUAUCCUUUGUUAACAGCGUUUUGCUCAUUUCCUCCUGAGAGAUCGGCAGAAUGGGCUUCAGCAUCCAUUUGACCAGCAUGCUGGACAGGAGCAUGAUUUCAAGGGAGAUCAAAGCCUUUCCUAUAGCUCUCCUCACCUAAUGGCCUAGUGAGUCCUCUCCAGAAUUCCCUUCAGCCAGCUCCUUCAUGGCAAUGCUCUGUCUAUCUUGCAAACGCCUCAAAGCCUUCCCAUCUCUCUCACCGCACCCUAAAGCCAGCUCUGCAUUUUUAGAUAUUUGUUUCUAUAGGAUUCCCCACCCCCCUUUUGCAACCAGUUUGUUUUAUUCUGCUGUCAGAAGAAUAAAAGAGUCAUUUAAACAACAU